GAUGAAGAACGUAGCAAAAUGCGAUAAGUAAUGUGAAUUGCAGAAUCCCGUGAACCAUCGAGUCUUUGAACGCAAGUUGCGCCCGAAGCCAUUAGGCCGAGGGCACGCCUGCCUGGGCGUCACACGUCGUUGCCCCCCCAUCUACUCCUUCGGGAUUGCGGGGGGCGGAUGAUGGCCUCCCGUGCGCCUCGCCGCGCGGUUGGCAUAAAUGCCAAGUCCUCGGCGACGCACGCCACGACAAUCGGUGGUUGCGAAACCUCGGUUGCCCGUCGUGUGCGGUCGUCGCGCAUCGAGGGCUCGAAAAAAUUGCCGGGUUCCGGCUCGGCUUUCAACGCGACCCCAGGUCAGGCGGGGUUACCCGCUGAAUUUAAGCAUAUCAAUAAGCGGAGGA
rnacentral:misc_RNA from 1 species